GGCGCUGUGGCAGAGCGGCCCAAUGCGAUCGGCGUGGUGGAGGUCCCCGCCACGCCGAGUGAUGGAGGAGAGCGGACCUGCUCCCACCGUCCGCGGGUUCGAAUCCCGUCGGCGCCG
rnacentral:tRNA from 1 species